rnacentral:rRNA from 1 species
CGCCCUUGAGUUUGAUCAUGGCUCAGGAUGAACGCUGGCGGCGUGCUUAACACAUGCAAGUCGAACGGUGAAAGAGAGCUUGCUCUCUGGAUCAGUGGCGAACGGGUGAGUAACACGUGAGCAAUCUGCCCCUGACUCUGGGAUAACAGCUGGAAACAGCUGCUAAUACCGGAUACGAGUUGCGAAGGCAUCUUCAGCAGCUGGAAAGAAUUUCGGUCAGGGAUGAGCUCGCGGCCUAUCAGCUUGUUGGUGAGGUAAUGGCUCACCAAGGCGUCGACGGGUAGCCGGCCUGAGAGGGUGACCGGCCACACUGGGACUGAGACACGGCCCAGACUCCUACGGGAGGCAGCAGUGGGGAAUAUUGCACAAUGGGCGAAAGCCUGAUGCAGCAACGCCGCGUUUUUUGACGACGGCCUUCGGGUUGUAAACCUCUUUUAGCAAGGAAGAAGCGAAAGUGACGGUACUUGCAGAAAAAGCGCCGGCUAACUACGUGCCAGCAGCCGCGGUAA